rnacentral:lncRNA from 1 species
ACCCUUUUCCCAAACAUACAAAUCACACAAUCAUUUCCCAAUGUCAAACCCAACUCACAUCUCUCACCAAAAGGUCCUAAGAACAUCAACUCUUUCUCUUUGAAAUCUACAAGGGAUUUUUCACAACCUCAAAACAUUUCUUAGCUCUUAACAACUUUGCUAGCCCCCUUUUUUCUUUUCUCUUUUUUUCUUUUCUUUUCUUUUUUCUUUUUUUCGUUUUUCUUUUUCCUUUAUUUUAUUUUUUUUUUAUUUUUUUUUUUAGGCUGGGGGCCAAGACUUUUCAAAACUUGAGUUAGAGGCUUCUCUACUGAUCCCAAUAAAACAAUUCACUUAAGCACAAAGAGUCUAUUCUAUUCUUUUUUCAUUUCUCCCAAAUCAUAAUCACAACACUCACCCCCCACCUAUAG